rnacentral:ncRNA from 1 species
ACCGUCUGAACUGAACCUUUGCCGAAAGUUUUUUCUCCGAGGAUAACGGCUCUCUGAUGGUCUUGCAGGGCUCCGGCCAAAAUUUCGGAGGCGGAAGCGGAACCGUCGUUAACCAAAACUACAAUCGGCAGGCCUUUGGCAAUGUCUCCGGGUUUGGCGUUGUAUUUUACCGUGUCUUCGGGGUUCUUGGAGCGGGUAGAAACGAUUUCUCCCUUGUCUAAGAACAAAUCCGAAACGCUGACCGCCUGAUCAAGAAGGCCGCCGGGAUUAUUGCG